GGGGGACCGAUACGGACUGCAGCCCCCACCCCUUCAGCAAGCACCCUUGCUCUGUCUGAACCCCUAGCAUCCUUUUGUUGGAGCACCUUAGUGGGAAGGGGAAAUCACUCUGGCAGGCCCACCCUGCUGCCAGGCACCAAGACCUGUGAGUACCUGCUGUCAGAUGUACUUCAGGACCCACACUUUGGUCUAUCCAGAAC
rnacentral:lncRNA from 1 species